AACGUGUUUUACAUAAGUGUCCUCUUAUUUUUGCUGUUGAUUUACACAAACGGUAUGAGAAUCAUCGAUGAGUGAAAGCAGCAAAGAAAGGACACAUACUAACACGGACACCAGUCGCUGGACGUUCGAACUUGGCAGGACAUCCUUAGGACGGAGGAAACCCUCACGUGGGGAGACCGUGGAAAUACCAAAUACUGCACCUGUCCUGGAGUUAACAAGCACGUGGCAAAGGGAUGCUGGGUGAUCUUUUCUGUUCUCCGAAGCCUCAAGCGGAAUCCUGUGCUAUACCAUAUCAGCCCCCCCCCCAGUCAGUGCGAUUUCUGCUACCCAAAACAUCAAUUCUCAUCUGGGGUUGGGCCUGCAUUAUGACUGUAUUUUUAACACAAUAGAGAGUAUGAGCAAUACCCUCUUCAGUGUGAAAUGCCAAAGCUUGUAAUAUGACCUUAAUAUCAGUGGAAUCAAGCCCCUUUUAAUGUGCGGUUCUGUAUGUUAGUGUCUAAUGGUUCUCUCAGAAUAAUAUGUGGGCAAAGUCCCGGGUGGCUGUAAUAAUUGGACUGCUUGAGAGCAGAGAAACAAUCAAAGAAAAUGAUACCAGGCUUCCCACAAUAAAAGGUUUUUUCUUCAUUUG